ensembl:lncRNA
GGUGGUCUGAUUAUGCAUGGAUGGAUUGCUUUGUUCAGGAGAAGUUAACUGAAUGGCAGCUUCCAGAACUUGUUAAUAGUUUUGAAGAUGCAAAGGGAAAUCUUGCACUAAAGCUGUUACCUGUUUUGCUUCCACCUCCACCCUACAAAAUUGGCAGAAAAACAGUCCGGCCCAGCAUUGAUGAAAGCAAAAAAGCUUUCAUUGACAUUCAACCUGUAAGUACGACUCAAGAAAUUUACUUCAAUCAUUUAAUGACUUUACCAGGUUGAAUACACUACCAUUCAAAAGUUUGGGAUCGGCAUGAUUUUUUAUGUUUUUAAAUUAAGUAAUUUAUUUGAUCCAAAUACAGCAAAAA